CGUGGGCGGAGCCUCCGCCGAGCCGGGCGCCGCCCCGCCCCCUCGGCCCUGCCCCGCCCCGCCCCCUCGGCCCCUCAGGCCUGAGGGGUGUCGGGCCGGGCAAGGGACUCCUUCAGCAAUUGCGAUGACAGAGAGGCACGGUUGUUGCAAGGCAGGUCAUAUUUGGGAGGCCCUAACGUGGGGGGGGUGCGUAGAGGUGUAAUUGCGAUGAGCAAUGAGCACAUUGGACGUUUGUUGCAAGCAAAAUGUCUUGCUGUAGUAUUUGGGGGUUAAAGUAUGGGGCUGUCCGCUGAGGUUGCCGCAGGCCCACGGGUUGGGUGAGAGACGAGACAAGACGAGACGAGGGCUAAGUCCAGACAAGAAGCUGGAGGUUGAAUGGAUUCAGUCUGCACCGCAGUUGUCCUGGAAAAGCAAGGCUUAUGAACCUGAAGCGAGCUUUGUCAUUUCGGCGGUUCCCCCCUCGCAAGUUUGCUGACAACCCAGUGUUAUGUCGAGAGGCAUGAACUACUCCAUUCAGUGCAAUUUUAAGUGCCGAUGUUCCCAGUUGCUAUCAUGGGGCAUUUGACUUUGUUUCGCUGCUAAUCAAGCAGUGGAAAUUAGGUUUGUAUUCUGAAAAUCUGUAAACACAUCACCUUGUUUUGCCAGGGCGUCAUCAGCUACAGCAAGAAAGAGCUAAACUCUUAAGAGCCCAGCAGAGUAUAUGUGAUAGCAGUCUUGAACACAAGUGUUAUCUCAUGCUGAGGAGGACACCGGGGUUUGAGAAGGGCUAGGCCUGCUUUCCCUUACGUUGUGGGAAUGGACUGAAGAAGAAAUCUUGAGGACCUGCACCUCUUAACUACCUGCUUGAUACUUCUAUUUUAUUGCAGGAGCCAGAUCCUUUGUCUGGUAUGCACAAGCAUCAUCCUUCUGACUUCACCCGAACUACACCGAUUUAUACCAGCUGAGGAACUAACCCGUGAUGUAGGCUGUAGGAAUGGCUCAGCAGAAAAAAAAUCCACCUAGCCCAGAAACUGUUCUAGGCCUCUCUUGAACAUGCUGGAGAGCCAUGUUAUCAUAACCCAAAGCACCAACGUGAUGGGAUGUUGUUACUUUUAAUCAUUUACCUUUGAAAAAUCCCACUGGUUUAGACCUGACAGGCCACUCUGUGAGCUAUUGUAGCCUGAAGACUGGAAGAAUUUAAAUGGAUGUGGUGGGUUCUCCAUCACAUAAAAUCUUUAAAGCAAACCUGGAUACAUCCUUACAAGAGUUGUCAGAGCUCCAGCAGUGGUUAUGGCCCAGUACAGAAGUUAUUUGGUUCAGUAGCCUAUCAUGCCGGAGGUCAGACUAGAUGAUUAUGAUGGUCUUUCCGUCCUUAAAAACAAUGAAUCUGUUAAAUUAGUAGCUCCUUUGACAUGAAUGGAGCUCCUCUCAUUUAUACCUGCUGCAGGGCUAUACUUAGGAAUUCUCCUUUCCCUGGCAAGAACGUAACUAGCCAACUGGUAAAUAAGAUCUCAGAUGGACACAAGAAGGUAAUUAGCAAUGAGCUCUGUCUAACACAGCCCUUUGUAGGAGAUCAUGAAAUAAAAACUUAGACAAAUAAAUUAUUGAUGUGGCCUGGAACAAAUGGAUAAAUGUAACCCAUAAGGACAUUCACAGCCACUGUUAAUAACCUGUCAGACUUAAUUUAGGAGAAAGGAUCCACUAUGACCACAGGACUUAAAUCUGCUUGGCAGCUCCUUAAUUCAGCACCAGCCCUAUCUCAAGGAAUAGCAUGGAAACAAACAGUUUCCUUACUACAGCUGUGGAUUUAAGGUUUCUGUAGUUGUUAUUGGGGAGGUCCUUUGAGAAGGGAUAUUUAGAAGCUGUCCUUCAGUUUUAAAUAUUUAAGGACAGGCCUGGAAAAAUAAGAGUCUUGGAAGAAUUAUACUGUAUACAUAUUGGAAGAAUUAUAUUUUAGAAAACAAUCUACAGGAAGCUGGAGUAGGUGAUAUAAUGGAUCUUUCUCAUUCUUUCCACAGCUGGGGGUAGCACUAGUCUCUCCCCCAACUGAGCAAUACAAAGUACUUAUAUUUUAUCAUGUUGAACAGCUAAUUGUGGUUUAGUUUAAGGUAAAUUAGGGAAAGACACUCUUUAUUUGAGCAUAAAAGUGUAAUUAUUAGACAGUUAUUACUGAAGGCAGAAUUAAACCUGAUAUAUCAUGACUAAGGCGGGGUUAGCAUUUUUUCUUGUUUUGUGGGGAAUUUAUAUGAAAAUAAGGAGGAAAAAAACAUUGACACUAAUUCCAACUUUUUGGAUGAAAAACCAAACUCCUGAAUUUUUUAGCCAAAAAGCAGGGGGUGAGGAGAAUGAAGACUUGAGAAGCAAUUUUUUUCGUGCAGCUUUGAAGCUUGGGAACCUGACUUGUAAAGAGGAAAGGUACCUGACUUACUGCUCCCUUGAGGCAUAAAGUAUUUGACCAAAAGUUAACAGUGCUUUUAUCUAAAAACUGUCAUUUGAUUAAAAAAAAAAAACAACCAAACAUUUCCUGUGAUUUUGGUGAUUACUUUCUUUUAGAAAGUUUGGUCAAGUUGAAAUCCAAAUUUCUAUCAGUGGAAAAAAACAAGAGUUUCAACUAAAAAUUGUCAACUAGUCUCUAUUUAACUCUGCAUUCAAAAAGAAGAGAAAAAAAGAGCUUUCCUGGUGCUAUGGAGGAAUAUUAUGGCCCAGUGCAUCUGAUUUACUAGUGAAAUCACCUUGUCGGAGCAUUUGCACUCGUGCAACGGGAUCUGAUAGUGUUCGUACUCUUACGUCCCACCCACUCUGUUUCAUGGCAAUGGCUGUGCAAACUUCAGAGCAGUAACGCUGUGCAUUAGGCCUUGUGACUUCCUUCCCAUGCUUGAAAACCUGAAAGUGAAAAUAAAAGGUCCCAGAAGCAUUGGGCACAGCAGUUCACUUUGUGCGGCUUUCAGUCAUCAGAGCAUUGCUAUUUAAGGAUGACUGAUCCUCUUAAAUUUCCAGAUUAUGCAUGCUAAAAGAAUGCUUCUCCUUUGUUUGAGAUGCCACGCUGUAAUGCAAACACCCCCACAAUUAAUAUGCUCUUGAAUCUUCUUUAUGUCUCCAGAUAAAUUGACACUAAUGUGGAAAUUAUGAAAACCAGGUCCCUGCAUCUUCGUGUACUUCAACUUUGAAAGUAUGAAUAUCACAUUACAGUGAUGAUCCAGCUCCUCUGUGACACUGUCAGAGGGAAUUAAGGCUGAAAUUCUUAGCUGAGGGGGUGGUAUCUUCAAGUACGCAGUGUUUCAACUUUACAGUGAUUAUUUUUAGUCAAGUAGAGCCUGCAGGCCCCAUAUGAGAUCAGGACUCUAUUCUGUUAAGGGCUGUGCACACAUAUAAUUCCACCCACAGAAUUAAUUAUAAGAA